UUUUAUCUGGCACUGUAUCUACAUUAGUUUAAUUAACGUGUUAAACAUUAGGUUCGUAAGAUUAAAAAGUACUAUGAUACGGAAUGCUUAAACAUGAACAAUGCCUCGUUGACUUUAGCAAUAAACCUGUAAAACAUACUUUAAUAUCAUCGGAAAUCCGAGAAAUCGAAAAAUCAUUUGAUCAAGGAGUAAAAUUAAGAUCUUUUUAGGGAUAGGAAUGGCGCUGAUAACAAGGCUCUAACUUUUAUUAUGCUGAACGCCAUGGAUUCACGUCUGUAUGACACUAGCUUCUCUCUAUUGAUGUCAAAUCCCAUUCAGUUCGAGAACUUUUUCUGUUGAUAUCAAAUGAUUAUAUGAAGAUAAUUUUAAAAAGGAUAAAAGCGAGUGGAUCAUUUCAUUAGCCAUGUUGUUUGCUACGGAACUGGAAGAAGCGUAUUUCUUAAUUAACUUAAAUGAUAAACUUGUUUUUAUCAUUUAAUUUGUAUUUACAAUGAAAAACCAAUUACAUCAUAAAAUGUAUAUGAAAUACAGUUAAACUUAAUAAAAUAAAUA